rnacentral:rRNA from 1 species
UUGUCACACCCCCCCUCGUUACUACCCAUUGAAAGGCUUAGUGAGGUCUUGGGAGCGUUGGCUUGGUGGGCGACCCCCCCGCUGAUGCAAACUUGAUCAAACUUGGUCAUUUAGAGGAAGUACAAGUCGUAACAAGGUUUCCCUAGGUGAACCUGCGGAAGGAUCAUUUUUGAACCAAAAAUAACACUGUGACGAGCCCUUGCGUAGCGAGGGCGACUGCUUCCCGUUCGCCCGAUUAUUUUUUACCAGUUUUCUGAUAAAGUUAGUGAAAAACUUUCAACAACGGAUCUCUUGGUUCUCGCAUCGAUGAAGAACGCAGCAAAGCGCGAUAGGUAAAGCGAAAUGCAGACGUGAGUCAUUGAAACUUUGAACGCACAUUGCGCCAGUUUACUGGCAUACUGCGUUGAGCGUCGGCCUUCCUCCACAGGUGCUGCUACUUACAGUAGUGAAAGGCAUGGACACGCACCCCUUAGCAAACCCGUGUUGACCUACAAAAUCGACCUCAGCGUAGUAAGAUUACCCCCUGAACUUAAGCAUAUCAAAAAGCGGAGGAAAAGAAACCAACAGGGAUUGCCCUAGUAAAGGCGAAAGAACAGGCAAAAGCUCAGAUUUGAAACCCUCGGGAUUGUAAUCUGGAGACCUGGAUUUGGCACGCUGACCAAGUCUUCUGGAACGGAGCGCCAUGGAGGGUGACAGCCCCGUAGCAGCAGCCCCAGUAAAACCCGGUCGACGAGUCGA